UACGUAGGGUGCGAGCGUUGUCCGGAAUUAUUGGGCGUAAAGAGCUCGUAGGCGGUUUGUCACGUCUGCUGUGAAAUCCCGAGGCUCAACCUCGGGCCUGCAGUGGGUACGGGCAGACUGGAGUGCGGUAGGGGAGAAUGGAAUUCCUGGUGUAGCGGUGGAAUGCGCAGAUAUCAGGAAGAACACCUAUGGCGAAGGCAGCUCUCUGGGACGGUACUGACGCUGAGACGCGAAAGCGUGGGGAGCGAACAGG
rnacentral:rRNA from 1 species